GCAGCACAUACGAACCCGACUUGAUAGGAGGCGUCUCAGGUUAAACCGAAACUUGUUUUUCUUUGUUUUUAGUACUCCGAGAUUAAUUUAUUAGAGAAGAAGAUAGUAGAUAUAUCUACUUAGCUUGAUAUUUCUUGAAUAUUUAACAUUAAUGUGUUUUAAUCGGAGCUAAUAGGCGGACUUGUGUCGAAGACAAAUAGCUUCGUUAUUUUAAUACGUGUAUUACCUUUAUAGAGUAACCAUGUAUUUUUGUUUAAAUGACAAGUUUAAUCCCGCAAAUUUUACGCGGAAUCGAGAACGACCUUCACUCGAAACUGAAGAUUUUUUUUUUUGUGUGUGAGACUUCGCCAUUUAGUUAUGGCGAUAACGUUAGGCUAAACGAGCCAAAUAUAGACUAACGUUAAUGUUAACGUUUUCCGCAUAUUAUUGCGGUCGUGUCGUGAACAGACACUCAAAAUAGCGCCUAUUCGAUUAUCAACAUAUCAGAUUAUUGAUAUGUUUUCUUUAGAGAACAGAGCCAAAGUCUUUCCUAUCGGUAGUUGGCUCAAGAUGGGAGCCGUGACGUAGCCGUCUGCAAACGUUGGCUAUUGGUUAAUUUGAACAACGCGUUCACGUGGCCGAGCUGUUUCCUAUGACGACGGUAGGCUGAAAUUUUUAGGGAGUGGUCAGCUAGGUUAGCAACUGUUAGCACUAGCGAACUAAACGACCGCUUGUACUUUUUGUCAGCCCGAAGUAGAAGGAGAAAAAAGCAGAAGAGGAACAAAAGCCUUAGUAACAAGAUGAAGUUUACUUUUGUAAAUGACUAUUUGUCCAUACUUGACAGAAACCAAGGCAGUAAAGUCAGAAGUUGAAGAGGCCAGGACGAGCAGACCCUUUCUUAAAAUAGAUCAGACAUUUUAAUUCACAAAAGUCAGACACUGAAGAUGCCAAGACAAGAAUGACCACACGGUCUCUUAAAAUGGAAGAGCAGAAAUUUUAACUUACAAAAGGUAGACACUGAAGAGGCCAAGACAAGAAUGAGAAGACAAUCUCUGAAAACAGAAGAGCAGAAAAUUUAAUUCCCAAAAGUCAGACACAGAAGAUGCCAAGACAAGAAUGAGCAGACAAUCUCUGAAAAUAGAAGAGCAGAAAUUUAAUUUACAAAAGUCAAACGCUGAAGAGACCAAGACAAGAAUGAGCAGACAAUCUCUGAAAAUAGAAGAGCAGAAAUUUAAUUUACAAAAGUCAGACACUGAAGAUGCAAGACAAGAUUGAGCAGACAAUCUCUGAAAAUAGAAGAGCAGAAAUUUUAAUUUACAAAAGUCAGACACUGAAGAUGCCAGGACAAGAAUGAGCAGACAAUCUCUGAAAAUAGAAGAGCAGAAAUUUUAAUUUACAAAAUCAAAAGCUGAAGAGACCAAGACAAGAAUAAAGAAGAACAAGAAUACUAAACAGUUCAGAGCAACCUUGUUAUGGAAAAGAGAUAUUAUAGAAAACUUGAGUUAAUUAAAAAGUUACAUCGAGUCUAAUGCAAAUAUUAUUUAAUACGUUAUGGCGCAGCAGUCUCAAAUUAAUAGGAGCCAAAUCAGCAGAGGACAUCAAUGAUGUAGACUUAAGAGAACAUGCUUAAACUACCUUUUCCACUAAAGGAAGCAACAAAGUCUUGUCAAUAAGAUAAUCAAAAGCUUUAUUUUAGCUAUAUAAAAUUGCGUUUUGUUUUUUUUAAAGCCAUUUUUAUUUUAUUUUCAGGCGUUAUGUAUUUAAUUUAGUAACGGUCAAAUGGAAAUGAUUUCAGUUCCUUUGAUGAGCACUAGCUUUAGCUCAGAGCCACAAGCUCAGGAUUUCAUUUUGUGGUGUCAACUUAAAAAAAAAAAAAAAGUUUUAUUUUUUAUUUAUUUUUUUGCUUUAGCGAAGACAGAAGAUUUUUUUUUUUUUUUUCCGGGGAAAUGGACUGAGUUAUCGUGGGGAGGAAUGGACUUAGUUAUUAGAGGAAGAAUGGACUUAGUUAUUAGAGGAACAUCGCAGGACCAGCGUGGAGCGAGGCCAUGGGACACAGGGAGGACCAGAAUGGAGCCAGGCAGUACAGGACCAGAGGGCAUGGAGGGAGGAUCAGAGGGCCCAAAAGAGCAGCAGGCAGCAGCAGUCAUCGAGGGUACACCAGAUGGAGCCAGAGGCGCAGGGCAGGGUAGCAGCGCAGAGGGGCCAUCACUGACGCAGUGGCAGCAGAUCCAGAGCAAGCCAGCAAGCCAGCCAGCCAGCCAGCCAGUGGUCAGAGGGUGGUGGGACAGGGCAUACAAGUGUCUUCUAGCAGCGUCAGUUUAAAAGCAAGGGAUUGGUUUGUAUGUUGGGUCGAGGUAUCUCUGUAACAUUGUCAGGCAAUUUAGUUUUCUAUAUUUCUUUCCAGUAGAAACUGUUGUAGAACACAAUGUCUCGCACAGCUCUCUCUUCCUUUUUUCAGGCAAGCCGUUUAAUGGUAUCGUACCGUGGAUUUCCCUCCUGUUGUUCGCUGACAUAAGUGUGGUGGUGUCUGCUGUCAUGAAUGCCUUGGUAGUGUGCUGGAGAGAGGAGCGCCUUAUCGGGACUUCUCUACCCCCUGCAAAUCAGAAGUAGUUCCCCGGCCGGAGGGAGAGGCAUGCCUUUGUUGGUCAAUAGGUCUACCCCCAGAGAAGUUUUCAGCAUUGGAGUGUGAGAGUGGAUGGUCUCCUGUGCGACCGAUUGAGUGUAUUCAGCAACCCUUCAGUGCUUCAGCAGCUCCUCAUUGGUACAAAUCAGCUACGUCUACCUCUUAACCCGAGCAGUGAGUGAGUGAAUGCAUGAAAUGUACAUGUGGGUGUAACUAUCCUGUACAUCAAGUCAUUAUUACCUAAUGCUGUAUAGUAUCCAGUAGUUUUGUAAUUCAAAGAAAUGCAUUGAAAUAGGUUCUGACUACAAAAGAUUUUUGGGUUAAGGGGUUGGGGGGGGUGGGUACCUAAAACGUGUUUCGAGUUCUUCUUUUCACAGGCAUGGCCCCCUAAAGGUGACCCAUCGAAAGAACCCCCCCGUGCUAGCCGCUCUGUUGAGCUCAUCUUAUUUACUGUAGUGCUUUGGAUCGGGAUCAUGUGCAUCAACUGCGGUUUUAAGAGAUAUAGGAAGGUAUUUGGUGGUGUUCAAUUAAGUCCAUUAGAUUCACUAUUUAUCAAUUCUACACUAUUUGGAAACGUGUUGUAAAUGGGGUUUGAUGCACAUGUCUUGGGUAGCGGGAGGGUGGGUUGUGGGGCGUUAAUCAGUCUCUUCCUAGACUUCACAGCUCCUCGUUACCCAACGCAAAACGGCUUGAAUAGGAAACAUCCAGUCGCACCCAACAAGAUUCAAGUGGACACUUUGCCUCCCAGGAUAGCAACCUCAAAACUAGCCUCCUGGUGUAGCAAGAAUUUUCCCAGGGAGUGCGGUAACAAGUCUCUUUACUAGAAGUCAUUGUAAUUCUGUACAGGCUGCAAAUUGCUUUGUGGGGUUGGGAGGGGCUUUGUAUUUGUGACUCUUGCAGAUAGUUAUAUGGCCCGCCCUUCAAAAAUUCUCCAUUCAAGUCUACGUCUUCAGUUCAUAAGGAAGGGAUCCUUCGCGUUGAGGCCUGCGGUAUUUAAAUGCUUCUUCUGGAAAAUGGUUAAAAUUAAAUUGAAUUUGAAGUGUGUUCAUAGUCAUUCAGUUGUCCUUUUCUAAAAAGGCAGUUGUACUUGUAGCUACUGUAAUGCCAGUAAUUGUGUUGUAGUUCUGUACUGCUUCAUUGUAUUUGGGGAGGGGUAUUGUGGGAGAGGCUUUUUCCUUUUGCAUUUUUCAGUGUGCUGUGUCCUGUGCGCUUUCCAAUACCCGAGAUCAUCAGGAACUCUCCUAACUCAUUGUAUGUUCAAGUUUCCUUGCGCAGCGAGCAUCACGUAAGGUCACUAAAUGUGUUCACAUUAUCUUUAACAUUCAUUGUCUGGCAAAAUGCCUCCACUGCAAUUCCUUUGCAAUUAGUUACUAUGCCUUGUAUUGACAAUACAAUGAGUGAACUAUCUGUAAAGGAUUUUCUUAUUGCAUAAUAAAUGCAUAGCUUGUUGUGAUUGAA